AUACGGAGGGUGCAAGCGUUAAUCGGAAUUACUGGGCGUAAAGCGCGCGUAGGUGGUUUGAUAAGUCGGAUGUGAAAGCCCUGGGCUCAACCUGGGAAUUGCAUCCGAUACUGUCUGACUAGAGUAUGGUAGAGGGUAGCGGAAUUCCCGGUGUAGCGGUGAAAUGCAUAGAUAUCGGGAGGAACACCAGUGGCGAAGGCGGCUGCCUGGACCAAUACUGACACUGAGGCGCGAAAGCGUGGGUAGCGAACAGGAGUAGAAACCCCAGUAGUCC
rnacentral:rRNA from 1 species